rnacentral:rRNA from 1 species
AACCCGAUAAUCCACGCAUACCCAACCUUCUCUAGAUACUCAGCAUGUGUACUGCCGUUGUAAGCACACCUCUAAAAGAUUAAGUGUGCUGAUAUGAUUAAUUCUCAUUUACAUCAGGUCAAAGUGCAGCCCAUGAAAAGGUGAUGAUGGGUUACAACCUCAAAACAGAAUAUCGAAUAAGAAAUAAAAAAUCUUAGGAAAGUGGACUUGGCUGUAAUUAAUUUACAAGUUAAAAAGAUGAAUAAGAGCCUAAGACAUGUACACAUCGCCCGUCACUCUACCCCAAAGGGUAGAUAAGUCGUAACAAAGUAGGCGUAAUGGAAAUUGCGCCUGUCGGAGUAUAGCAUAUAUAAUGCUUUUUACUUACACUAAAAAUAAAGUCUACAAACUUACUUCGCCCAGAUAUAAAAACCCUAUAACCAACUAAUCAUAAAACAAUUAAUAAGUAACAUACUAACAAGUACAGAAAUGGAACCAGUAACAAAAAAAAGUAAAUCUUAAAAAAUGUACCUUGUGCAUUAUGGUUUUACAAGAAAAUAAUUAAAAUAUAGAUCCCGAAUUCUAAGUGAGUUGUUUAGCUGCUGCUCAGAUCCCAUUAAUAACUGUAUAAAAAGUUUUAAAAGACAGCUUAACAGGGGCUACAUACCAUUCGCACAAGAAUAUAGCUGGUUUUCAACAAACAUUAUACAUUAAAGCAUAUAACCAAGUUAUAAUGUUAUAUUAUUGAGGACAAGCCCAAUAAUAAUAGCAAUAUACAGCCCAACCCAUCAAAUAUCAUAGGCCUAAAAUCAGCCAACUAAAAUACGUUACCGUAUAAAGCAGUGAUGAAAUACAUAACCACAAAUGCUAAAUAAAGUUGAAAUAACGAAUAAACCACCUCAUCGACCUUACUAUGUAAAAAUAAGUAUUAAAAUUCCACAAUAAGAACACCCUAGUAACAUUAAACCACUAAAUAAAUAAUAACUAACCAAGGAACUCGGCAAACCAUAUUUCGACUGUUUAACAAAAACAUUGCCCCAUGAAUAACAUGUGGGGUAAUACC